AACGAACGCUGGCGGCAGGCCUAACACAUGCAAGUCGAACGCCCCGCAAGGGGAGUGGCAGACGGGUGAGUAACACGUGGGAACAUGCCCUUCGGUACGGAAUAACUCAGGGGAAACUUUGUGGCUAAUACCCGUAUACGUCCGAGAGGAGAAAGAUUUAUCGCCGAAGGAUUGGGCCCGCGUCUGAUUAGCUAGUUGGUGAGGUAAUGGCUCACCAAGGCGACGAUCAGUAGCUGGUCUGAGAGGAUGAUCAGCCACAUUGGGACUGAGACACGGCCCAAACUCCUACGGGAGGCAGCAGUGGGGAAUUUUGGACAAUGGGGGGAACCCUGAUCCAGCAACGCCGCGUGAAUGAAGAAGGCCUUAGGGUUGUAAAGUUCUUUUGUCUGGGAGCAAAGGUUGUAUGUUAAUAGUAUACAAAGAUGAGAGUACCAGAAGAAUAAGCACCGGCUAACUACGUG
rnacentral:rRNA from 1 species